UGAGGAAUAUUGGGCAAUGCCCGCAAGGGUGACCCAGCAACGCCGCGUGGAGGAUGAAUGUCGUAAGAUUGUAAACUCCUGUUAGAGGGGAAGAAUAGUACCGGUUGGACCGGUAUAUGACUGUACCCUCAGAGAAAGCCCCGGCUAACUACGUGCCAGCAGCCGCGGUAAUACGUAGGAGGCAAGCGUUGUCCGGAUUUACUGGGUGUAAAGGGCGCGCAGGCGGGAUAAAAAGUCAGUGGUGAAAUCCUACAGCUUAACUGUAGAACUGCCUUUGAUACUUUUAUUCUUGAGUUCGGGAGAGAGAGACGGAAUUCCAGGUGUAGUGGUGAAAUACGUAGAUAUCUGGAAGAACACCAGUUGCGAAGGCGGUCUCUUGGUCCGACACUGACGCUGAGGCGCGAAAGCGUGGGGAGCAAACA
rnacentral:rRNA from 1 species